GACGAACGCUGGCGGCGUGCUUAGCACAUGCAAGUCGAACGGAAAGGCCCUGCUUUUGUGGGGUGCUCGAGUGGCGAACGGGUGAGUAACACGUGAGUAACCUGCCCUUGACUUUGGGAUAACUUCAGGAAACUGGGGCUAAUACCGGAUAGGAGCUCCUGCUGCAUGGUGGGGGUUGGAAAGUUUCGGCGGUUGGGGAUGGACUCGCGGCUUAUCAGCUUGUUGGUGGGGUAGUGGCUUACCAAGGCUUUGACGGGUAGCCGGCCUGAGAGGGUGACCGGCCACAUUGGGACUGAGAUACGGCCCAGACUCCUACGGGAGGCAGCAGUGGGGAUUAUUGCACAAUGGGCGGAAGCCUGAUGCAGCAACGCCGCGUGCGGGAUGACGGCCUUCGGGUUGUAAACCGCUUUCGCCUGUGACGAAGCGUGAGUGACGGUAAUGGGUAAAGAAGCACCGGCUAACUACGU
rnacentral:rRNA from 1 species